rnacentral:rRNA from 1 species
AUUGAACGCUGGCGGCAGGCCUAACACAUGCAAGUCGAGCGAGCGGCGGACGGGUGAGUAAUGUAUGGGGACUGCCCGAUAGAGGGGGAUAAAUACUGGAAACGGUGGCUAAUACCGCAUAAUGUCGGAUAACCCAUAUGGGAUUAGCUAGUAGGUAAGGUAAUGGCUAACCUAGGCGACGAUCCCUAGCUGGUCUGAGAGGAUGAUCACCCACACUGGGACUGAGACACGGCCCAGACCCCUACGGAGGCAGCAGUGGGGAAUUUUGCACAAUGGGCGCAAGCCUGAUGCCGCCAUGCCGCGUGUAUGAAGAAGGCCCUAGGGUUGUAAAGUACUUUCAGUCGGGAGGCGUUACCGACAGAAGAAGCACCGGCUAACUCCGUGCCAGCAGCCGCGGUAUAC